CUGGUGUCCUGGCUGCAGGAUAUCCUUUUCCAUCUUCCCCAGCCCACCUCAUAGCACCUCACCCCUCUGCUGGCAAGAGGGGGCCUGAUUCAUCUUCCAACCAGAUACACAUUCCACGCAACGAGCCAAGACUGAGCAGAAGAGGAACUGAAACACCUUUGUCUCAGAGCUUGAAAAGUGAAUGAGCAAUCCCUCUCAACUGACUCAAAAUGUUUGUCUCACCCAGAAGAUGGAACUCCCGAAGGGCUCCUCUGGCCAACGGACAUUCCUAUCUGCCCUCCUCAACAUGCUAUCACUCAGCCUCUCCACAACAUCCCUGCUCAGCAACAGCUGGUUUGUGGGCACACAGAAGGUGCCCAAGCCCGUGUGCGGAAAAGGUCUGGCAACCGAGUGCUUGGACGUGCCGGUGCCCUUGGAUGGGAGCAGCACCAACGCAUCAUCCCAGGAGGUGGUGCAAUACAGCUGGGAGGCUGGGGAUGACACCUUCUCCUUCCAUUCCUUCUGGAGUGGCAUGUGGCUAUCCUGUGAGGAAACUGUGGAAGAACGAGGGGAGAGGUGCCGAACUUUCAAUGAACUCACACCACCAACCCAGAGAGGUGAGAAAGGACUACUGGAGUUUGCCACGUUGCAAGGCCCACGUCACCCCGCUCUCCGAUUUGGAGGGAAGCGGUUGAUGGAGAAGGCUUUCCUCCCCCACCCUCCCUUGGGGCUUGUGGCAAAGAUCCUAUGGUUAUCCCUGGGAGCCCACUUCUCGUCCAUCGGACUUGAAUUCGUCAGCUUCCUCUUGCUACUAACGGACCUGCUGUUCACCGGGAACCCGGGCUGUGGGCUCAAGCUGAGCGCCUUCGCUGCCCUUUCCUCCAUCCUGUCGGGCCUCCUGGGGAUGGUGGCCCAUAUGAUGUAUUCACAAGUCUUCCAGGCAACUGCCAACUUGGGUCCAGAAGACUGGAGGCCACAUGCUUGGAAUUAUGGCUGGGCCUUCUACACGGCCUGGCUUUCCUUCACCUGCUGCAUGGCAUCGGCGGUCACCACCUUAAACACAUACACCCAGCUGGUGCUGCAGUUCAAGUGCAAGCACAGUAGGAGCUUCAAAGGAAAGCUGAGUUGCCUGCCGCACCAUCACCAGUGCUUCCUUGAGCAGCCGUCCUGUGCAGCCCCCACGGGGUGUCCUCUGACCAGCUACCACCAGCGCCACCCUCAGCCCGUCCGCUCAGUCUCUGAAGGAGCUGACUUCUACUCGGGGCUACACCACAAGGGAUUUCAGCAAGAACCCAGCCAGAGGCUAAAGGAAGAGGUGGCUGGGUCAUCCGUAGAGGAAGAACUGUGUUAGAAGUAGUCAGAUUUAGAGGGCAGGCGGAACCCAACCUUCCAUGUUCAUUUGCUAUCAACAGGGAAAACAAACCAUGGCGAUGGCUAAGAAGAAUGAGAAUGACACACAAGUGUGUUUCCUAUACAUAGUAUUUAUUUGUUCUCCAACAAUUCACAUUUUAAAUAGUGCUUCCUGACAAUAUACCAGCUGGCUCUUCUG